rnacentral:rRNA from 1 species
AUUGAACGCUGGCGGCAGGCCUAACACAUGCAAGUCGAACGAGUGGCGGACGGGUGAGUAAUGUCUGGGAAACUGCCUGAUGGAGGGGGAUAACUACUGGAAACGGUAGCUAAUACCGCACACCAUCCGAGUCGCCCAGAGGUGAUGGGCUUGUUGGUGGGGUAACGGCUCACCAAGGCGACGAUCCCGAGCUGGUCUGAGAGGCUGACCAGCAACACUGGAACUGAGAAACGGUCCAGACUCCUACGGGAGGCAGCAGUGGGGAAUAUUGCACAAUGGGCGAAAGCCGGAGGCAGCCAUGCCGCGUGUAUGAAGAAGGCCUGCGGGUUGUAAAGUACUUUCAGCGGGGAGGCGUUACCCGCAGAAGAAGCACCGGCUAACUCCGUGCCAGCAGCCGCGGUAAUUC